GAUGAAGAACGCAGCGAAAUGCGAUAAGUAGUGUGAAUUGCAGAAUUCAGUGAAUCAACGAAUCUUUGAACGCACAUUGCGCCCCUUGGUAUUCCAUGGGGCAUGCCUGUUCGAGCGUCAUUUGUACCUUCAAGCUCUGCUUGGUGUUGGGUGUUUGUCUCGCCUCUGCGUGUAGACUCGCCUCAAAACAAUUGGCAGCCGGCGUAUUGAUUUCGGAGCGCAGUACAUCUCGCGCUUUGCACUCAUAACGACGACGUCCAAAAGUACAUUUUUACACUCUUGACCUCGGAUCAGGUAGGAAUACCCGCUGAACUUAAGCAUAUCAAUAAGCGGAGGA
rnacentral:misc_RNA from 1 species